rnacentral:rRNA from 1 species
UUUUCAUUAUUUCUGAGCUUGCCAGCAGCCAUACCACAUGCAGUUUAGACUACAGAACCCUCCCUGAAGCUAAGCAGGCUUGGGCCUGGUCAGUACUUGGCUGGGAGACCAUCUAGGAACGCUGGGUUGUGGAUAGAA